CAGAUGUAGAACUGAAAAUUUAUCACAGAAUUUGAUCCAUCCUGCAAGGCUCGGAUUUAAAAAUAUCAAGACACCUUUCAGUCAAUUUGCCACACCUGUAUAUCCAGGUUCUUGUCUCCAAAAGAAGAAAACGAAGUAGUAAAAUUCUGUUUCCAAGCCAGUGCUGUUCUUUCCCAAAUGUGAAUGUACUCCUUCAGGCGUGUAAUGCAAGCCUCCCUACUAAGACUAACCAUAUGAAUGUUCGAUUACCCAGGACCUGAAGUAAAACGUGUUAAGAGUUAAUUGUAAAUUUAUUAGCAUUGGCACAGCACAGGAUUUCUUCAUAAAUACUGGCUACAACUGUCUGCCUGAAAUCAUUGUGCUUAUGUGAUUACUAGAAGAGCUUUCCCCGAAAUAAAAAGCAAAUUUGACC
rnacentral:lncRNA from 1 species